GACGAAGGACCCGAGCGUUAUCCGGAUUCAUUGGGUUUAAAGGGUGCGUAGGCGGAUUGAUAAGUCAGUGGUGAAAGCCUGUUGCUUAACAACAGAACUGCCAUUGAUACUGUUGAUCUUGAAUAUGUUUGAUGUGGGCGGAAUAUGACAUGUAGCGGUGAAAUGCUUAGAUAUGUCAUAGAACACCGAUUGCGAAGGCAACUCACAAAACCAUUAUUGACGCUGAGG
rnacentral:rRNA from 1 species